UACGUAGGGGGCAAGCGUUGUCCGGAAUUAUUGGGCGUAAAGCGCGCGCAGGCGGUUUUUUAAGUCUGGUGUUUAAACCCGAGGCUCAACCUCGGGUCGCAUCGGAAACUGGGAGACUUGAGUGCAGAAGAGGAGAGUGGAAUUCCACGUGUAGCGGUGAAAUGCGUAGAGAUGUGGAGGAACACCAGUGGCGAAGGCGACUCUCUGGGCUGUAACUGACGCUGAGGCGCGAAAGCGUGGGGAGCAAACAGG
rnacentral:rRNA from 1 species